rnacentral:rRNA from 1 species
UUCUUAAAGGUGAUUAUUUUAAGUAUUUUCUGCUCAAUGAAUGAAUAUUAAAUAGCUGCAUUUGCACUAAGGUAGCAUAAUAAAUUGUCUUUUAAUUGGAGACUGGAAUGAAAGAAAGAAUGGGGAAAAGUUUUCUUAAAAUUGGAAGGUUGAAUUAUAAUUUUUAGUAAAAAUGCUAGAAUAGAAUUUAGGGACAAGAAGACCCUAUGAAGCUUUAUAAGUUAAAAAUUGAGAAAGUUAUUUUGUU